rnacentral:RNase_P_RNA from 1 species
GUGAUGGGUCGCCCCACCGCGGCGCCAAACGCAAGUAGGGCGACGAGGAAAGUCCGGGCAACGCAGAGCACCCUGCUUCCUAACGGGAAGGACUGGUGAGCGUAAAGCAAACCAGGACAGCCAGUGCCACAGAAAACUACCGCCUACGUGGCCCCUUGGGGCCGCCGGUAAGGGUGAAAAGGUGCGGUAAGAGCGCACCAGCGGCCGGGCAACCGCGUCGGCUGGGUAAACCUCAGGGGUUGAAAGACCAAAUAAGCUGGUACGCGGGCCUUCGGGCCUGCACCGGGCGGCUCGUCCGGCGCCAGCGGGUAGGUUGAUGGAGCCUUUCCGCGAGGACUGGCCUAGAUAAAUGGUGGGGCCGCGGCAACGCGGACAAAACCCGGCUUAUAGACCUAUCAC